CAAUAGCGGAGGAAAAGAAACCAACAGGGAUUGCCUCAGUAACGGCGAGUGAAGCGGCAAUAGCUCAAAUUUGAAAUCUGGUCCUUUCAGGUCCCGAAUUGUAAUUUGUAGAGGAUGUUUCGGCUUACGCCCCGGUCUAAGUUCCUUGGAACAGGACGUCACAGAGGGUGAGAACCCCGUUUGUGGCCGGCGGCUUCCGCCAUGUGAAACUCCUUCGACGAGUCGAGUUGUUUGGGAAUGCAGCUCUAAAUGGGAGGUAAAUUUCUUCUAAAGCUAAAUACCGGCCAGAGACCGAUAGCGCACAAGUAGAGUGAUCGAAAGAUGAAAAGCACUUUGGAAAGAGAGUUAAAAAGUACGUGAAAUUGUUGAAAGGGAAGCGCUUGCGACCAGACUUGCCCGCGGAUGCUCAGCCGGUCCUUCGGCCGGUGUACUCUUCCGCGGUCAGGCCAGCAUCAGUUCGGGCGGUCGGAUAAAGGCUUUGGGAAUGUAGCUCUCUUCGGGGAGUGUUAUAGCCCUUUGUACAAUACGGCCCGCCUGGACUGAGGAACGCGCUUCGGCCAGGAUGCUGGCGUAAUGGUCGUAAGCGGCCCGUCUUGAAACACGGACCAAGGAGUCUAACAUCUAUGCGAGUGUUUGGGUGUCAAACCCGUGCGCGAAAUGAAAGUGAACGGAGGUGGGAGCCCUCGGGUGCACCAUCGACCGAUCCUGAUGUCUUCGGAUGGAUUUGAGUAAGAGCAUAGCUGUUGGGACCCGAAAGAUGGUGAACUAUGCCUGAAUAGGGUGAAGCCAGAGGAAACUCUGGUGGAGGCUCGCAGCGGUUCUGACGUGCAAAUCGAUCGUCAAAUUUGGGUAUAGGGGCGAAAGACUAAUCGAACCAUCUAGUAGCUGGUUCUGC
rnacentral:rRNA from 1 species